rnacentral:tRNA from 1 species
UGCAUCGGCUGGGAAUCGAACCCGGGCCGCCCGUGUGGCAGGCGAGCAUUCUACCGCUGAACCACCGAUGG